AUGUUAGUGUGUGUAUGUAUGUUAGUGUUAGUGUGUGUAUGUGUGGAUGUCUGUUAUACACACACUAACACUAACAUACACACUAACAG